ACGGAAGGCAGCAGUGGGGAAUAUUGCACAAUGGGGGAAACCCUGAUGCAGCAACGCCGCGUGAAGGAUGAAGGCCCUUGGGUCGUAAACUUCUGUUCUAAGGGAAGAUAAUGACGGUACCUUAGGAGCAAGUCCCGGCUAACUACGUGCCAGCAGCCGCGGUAAUACGUAGGGGGCAAGCGUUAUCCGGAAUUAUUGGGCGUAAAGAGUACGUAGGCGGUUAUCUAAGCAUGGGGUUUAAGGCACUGGCUUAACCAAUGUUCGCCCCAUGAACUGGACUACUUGAGUGCAGGAGAGGAAAGCGGAAUUCCUAGUGUAGCGGUGAAAUGCGUAGAUAUUAGGAGGAACACCAGUGGCGAAGGCGGCUUUCUGGACUGUAACUGACGCUGAGGUACGAAAGUGUGGGGAGCAAACAGGAUUAGAUACCCUGGUA
rnacentral:rRNA from 1 species